rnacentral:rRNA from 1 species
GCGCNGCUUACCAUGCAAGUCGAGCGGAGUUGUGGUGCUUGCACCAUAACUUAGCGGCGGACGGGUGAGUAAUGCUUAGGAAUCUGCCUAUUAGUGGGGGACAACAUCUCGAAAGGGAUGCUAAUACCGCAUACGCCCUACGGGGGAAAGCAGGGGAUCUUCGGACCUUGCGCUAAUAGAUGAGCCUAAGUCGGAUUAGCUAGUUGGUGGGGUAAAGGCCUACCAAGGCGACGAUCUGUAGCGGGUCUGAGAGGAUGAUCCGCCACACUGGGACUGAGACACGGCCCAGACUCCUACGGGAGGCAGCAGUGGGGAAUAUUGGACAAUGGGGGGAACCCUGAUCCAGCCAUGCCGCGUGUGUGAAGAAGGCCUUUUGGUUGUAAAGCACUUUAAGCGAGGAGGAGGCUACUCUAGUUAAUACCUAGGGAUAGUGGACGUUACUCGCAGAAUAAGCACCGGCUAACUCUGUGCCAGCAGCCGCGGUAAUACAGAGGGUGCGAGCGUUAAUCGGAUUUACUGGGCGUAAAGCGUGCGUAGGCGGCUUUUUAAGUCGGAUGUGAAAUCCCUGAGCUUAACUUAGGAAUUGCAUUCGAUACUGGGAAGCUAGAGUAUGGGAGAGGAUGGUAGAAUUCCAGGUGUAGCGGUGAAAUGCGUAGAGAUCUGGAGGAAUACCGAUGGCGAAGGCAGCCAUCUGGCCUAAUACUGACGCUGAGGUACGAAAGCAUGGGGAGCAAACAGGAUUAGAUACCCUGGUAGUCCAUGCCGUAAACGAUGUCUACUAGCCGUUGGGGCCUUUGAGGCUUUAGUGGCGCAGCUAACGCGAUAAGUAGACCGCCUGGGGAGUACGGUCGCAAGACUAAAACUCAAAUGAAUUGACGGGGGCCCGCACAAGCGGUGGAGCAUGUGGUUUAAUUCGAUGCACCGCGAAGAACCUUACCUGGUCUUGACAUAGUAAGAACUUUCCAGAGAUGGAUUGGUGCCUUCGGGAACUUACAUACAGGUGCCC